rnacentral:lncRNA from 1 species
UAACUUCUUAUCUUUCCAAAUCUUUUUCACGGCAACAACAUCGCCUGUACGAUUGACAGGAACACAAUAAACUUUUCCUGAUCCGCCACUUCCAAUCAAAUUACUUUCCGUCAAUCCUGAGAGAAUUUUUGACACACUGAAAUUCAACCUCUGAAAUGCGGUGAGCUUCCAACCAGAACCCGAUCUGUUUCUCUUCCAAUAACUUCUGACCAUGAAGAAUGAUAAGGACAAAGCCAACAAGGACAAAAGUAUGCCGAAAGUUAAGAUCAAUGCAAGAUAUGUAGACCAAAUUUUGCUGGACUUUCGAGGUUGAGAAUUACAUAUGCUGAGUUUUGCUGAGGGGCUAGUUGCACAGAGACCUUGAUUGUCCAAGAAGCUUCCGUCAUAAGCAGGAUUUUCAAAUUCAAUUGGGAUCUUCCCAGACAGGUGAUUGGAAGAGAGAUUGAAGUUGCUGAGCUUCAGAUGCCCAAGUUGAGCUGGAAUUUGGCCAGAAAGUUGGUUUUCUGAAAGGUCCAGUGCAGUAAGGACUGGUAGAAGACCAAGUCCCGCUGGAAUUGGUCCAGAGAGUUUAUUUCGACUGAAAUUAAGAAAGUUGAGUGAUUUCCAUGACAUAAUCUCUGAUGGAAGGAAGCCAGUAAGCUGAUUCUGAUCAAGAGAAAGAGUGAUUAAGCUCGGAAGAGCAGUAAGUUCCUGAGGGAUAGUACCGUUAAAAAGGUUAUUACCGGCGUCAAAAACCUUCAAGUUCCAGGAUGACAUCCCGGUUGGAAUGUUACCUGAAAAUCUGUUAUCUCUGAUUUCCAGCCGUGUAAGACUCCGAGAUAUUUUCUCAGGAAGCUCACCGGUAAGAGAGUUGUUGCUCAUCAUUACCUGAUCCAAGUUUGGUGCUGUCCACAUGCCACUAGGAAUGUUCCCAGACAAUCCAUUAUCAUAAACCUUCACUUCUGUUAAACUAGUGCAAUUUCCAAGAGAGCUUGGUAACUCCCCAGUGAGAUUGUUCUCAUAAGCUACAAGUGUUGACAGCUUACCCCGAUAGCACAAAUGGUCUGGCAGUUUGCCAGUGAGCCUAUUCCCCGAAACCUCGAACCCUUCAAGCUCUGAAUACCUUCCAAAGUCUGGAGGCAAUGUUCCAGACAAAUUAUUGAUGAACACUCUGAACUGUUUGAGAUUUGGUAGACGGCCAAUGCUUGCUGGAACCGCACCAGAAAAACCAUUUAAAAACAAAGCUAACCAUGUUAAUUUGGUAAGGUUUCCAUAAUCUUGUGGUAUUGGGCCUGUUAAAUGGUUUGUAGAAAUAUCAAUGACAGUCAAGUUCAAUGCUUCAACCACUUGAGGUACAUACCCAGACAGGCUGUUGUUGUAGAGAUAGAUUAUACUCAACUUCUUCAACAGAAACAAAACACUUGGGAUUGUCCCAUUUAAACUGUUGGUUGCCAAAUCCAAUUCUUCCAGUGCUGCCAUUUCUCCAAGUGUUCCGGGGAGUUCUCCAAUCAAAUUCGAUCCGCGUAUAUACAAAGUCUUCAAGUUUUUCAACUUGGUGAAAUUGGAAGGUAGAUUCCAUGGCACAAGUUUUGUAUUGAAAGAGAGACUUAGGUGUUUAAGAUUGGACAAGUUACCUAUUUCUGGUGGCACGGAACCAUUAAAGUUGUUCAUAUACAGCUGCAGGUUCCUGAGCUCUUGUAACCGCCCAAUAGCCGCCGGUAUGUCACCAGAAAAGUAGUUAGCGCUAAGGUCAAGGUAUUGAAGCCGAUGCAAGCUAUCGAUAUCGUCAGGAAUCUUGCCAUCAAAGGAAUUUUGAGAGAGGUUCAAGUACUGUAGCUUUGAACAGUUGUAGAAAGCUUUUGGGAACUCUCCAGCAAAGUUGUUGUAGCUGAGAUCAAUGAGUGUGAGGUUCUUGAGAUCACAAAUGAAAGGUGGAACUGGUAGGGUGAUGUUCGUGUGGACCAGAGACAAUCCGGUGACGGAGUUGUUUGUGCAGGUGAUCUCAGGCUGCCAGGAACAGUGGGAAGUGUUUGAUGUUGAUGGAAUCCAAUGACUGAGGAACGGUGGAGAUUGCAAGUAUGACUUUAUUUUUAGCAGAACAGCUUGUUCUUGGUCUUGCAAUGACUGAGAGUUGGCAUGGCUGAUGAGGAGGAGGGGGAGGAAGAGAAGGAAGCAGAGAUGGGUGUGGAGAGAAGAUGUUAGGGUAGGUUCAGUCAUUUGGUGAUGGAGGUUCAGAAGUUGGUUUGUUCCCGCGGCAUGAACUCUGGUUUUGAUGACAAGACAAGUAAGUUAAGGGAAGUUGAUUUCCUUGUAGUGUUGGAAAGUGGAAACUUCAAAACCAUUUGCAGGGCCACAAACGAAUGCAAACUUUUGGCAAUUUGAGUGGAGGACCUGGAAAAUGAUGGUCAACGGAGACCAUUUAGCCUACCACCAAUUAGUGGAGGACCUGGAAAAUUAUGGCAAUUUGAGUGGAGGACCUGGAUUGUUCUUAUCAGUUAGCUUAGCUGUUAACUUAUUAUAUUCGAAGGUUUGUUCACAAGAAACAAAGUUAUAUCAGGAGCCCAACCAAUUGACUUUUUGUUUUGUUUUGAUCAAAUGUGGGUCAGGGGUUCGAACUUGGUACCUCAUCCAACGUGGGGAAGAGAAGUAGCACUAGACCAAGAGCUACUUGAUACCAGUUGAUAUUCUAUAUAUGUUAUGGUUAUGGCAGCUAAAAUCCUCUCCUUCCUUCCUUGCCAAAGUUUUAAACUGCAAGAAAUUAUAUUGUUAAAGCCACAAAUGUCUGCAGAAGAUAAGGCAAGUUUUCGAAUAAAACAAGGCAGGCUGAAAGCCAAACGUGACGUACGUGAAGGGCAAGACGGCAUUGAAAGUUCCUUCCUGGAAUGUCACGUGUGAACAGAGAACGCCAUUGUUGAAUGAAGACUUGAUUUAUUGCUUUUUAAUUUUAAUGGGAGACUUUGAUCCCAUAUUGUUAUUAUUUUCCACUGAUACAGACGGGAGGAGAAAAAUGAAAAAAAAAAUUCCACUGGAAUGAAAAGUUGCAGAGGUGUGACGAAAUGGCAUUAAUUGGAAAACAAGCAAGAACCUAGGUGGGUGGGUUGUUGUCCUAACACACUCACGUUUGUUUGUUUCAGUUCUAGAAGAUGCACAAAAUUUCAAUUCAUGUGGGCUUUGAACUUUGGAGAAAAGUUGAGUCAUGAUAUCAAUGGGUUUUGGUGGAAAUAGAUUUGUAGUCUGUCAAAUAUAUGGACUGCAUUAUUUCUAAAAGCUGAUAGUGAAAAGCAGUAUGCAUCCAGAUGCAGUGCAGGGCCAACAACCAAGAUGCUGGAAAAAAGAAAUGCAAGUUUUCUGUUGACCAAUCUUGGCCUCUCUUCUUCUACUCAAACUUUAUGUGUAUCAUGUGAACUUUUGACUCAAAAACCAAGCGUCAAGGACCUUGCUGAUAACUUAAUGAAAUCACAAAUUUCUUUAGAUAUUAAUUAGAUAUUAUCACGUUCGCACGUGCAGGUGCAAACUGUAUGAAGUUAGUUAUUUACCCCAAAAGAAUUCAGAAAAAUUAUUUUCAUAUUGUAUGAAGUUUGUUGACUCAAAAAAGUCACCACUCACCACUCACCACUCACCUACAGGAAGCCCACGAAAUUAGUUUGGGCCUUGACUGAUUGAAUUGACUGCUUAGGGCCCUCAGUUUUCUACUUUGUUUUUGUUUUUGGUUUUUAAUGUAAGAGAGAGUCUAAGCCCAGUUUGGUCUGGUCCGUUAUUUUCUCUCUUGAUUAAAGUCCGUUCGGCUUGGCCCAAGCCUAAUAAAUUUUGGACCGAAUUGGCCUGGCCCAUUGACUAGGCUUAGCUACAAGGGGGAGAGGUUUCUCUUACACAUACAUUACGUAUCAAGGUGUCAUGAGAGUUCAAACUAAGACCACUAGUUAGCAAGUGAAUGCCCUUUUCCACUUGGCUAGACCCCGUUGGCUCCUACUUUGUUUUAUUAUUACUGAGUUAAAAUUAAAAUAGAGAAUCCCCUAAUAUAAAUUGAAUUUCCUUAUGCUUAAAGGACUAUGUUUGGUCAGACCGAAACAAAAAGGACUGGAAAUCUCUACAAAUGAUAAAAUAGAGAAAAGGGCACUUGUUUUCACAUCCCGCAUCAAUUAGUAUCGCACCGUUGAGUAGCUACUUAUCAGAUUGGCAAAAUCCUUGAACGGCUAUAAUCUAAUGCUUGGCUAACAAGUAAAGGAUUAUGAACGGCUAUGGUUACGUGCGAGUUUAAUGAGAUUAGGAUUCGUUUUUAGUUUCGUUCUAUGUAUUUUAUUUUCAAUUUCACGUUUGUCCCAGUGAGAUUAGGAUUUCCUUAUUCUGAAAGGAUAGGAUUUUGGUCUGAAUUGUUUAUAAAUACAAGUCCACUUGUUCUCACACUUGGCAUAGCAAGAAAAGAAACCCAGUAGAGUUACCUCAAUCAAAGACGAUCCAUCAAUAUCACUAAUCUUCGUCUUCUUUUUUGACAGUGCAAGCAAACUUGUUGAAGAUGGACUUCGAGCAGUUUUAUCGUUGUUACUCUGUCUCCUCAAUUGGCAAGCCACAUGCGGAAAACGGUGAUAAAAUUAUAAUGCCGCCGUCGGCUCUCCAUCGCCUUGUUUGGGGUCCACAGGUGGCCUACCCUAUGCUGUUUCAGCUCAACAAUCCCAAUUCUGAAUCUGGACGAGUUACUCAUUGCGGGGUCUUGGAAUUUGUUGCCGAUGAGGGCUUUGUAUUUUUACCAUCUUGGAUGAUGCACAACCUGCUUUUACAAGAGGGUAACCUUGUUCAUGUCAAAAGCCAAAGCCUUGGGAAGGGAACAUAUGUCAAACUGCAACCUCACACCAAGGACUUUCUUGAUAUCUCAAACCCUAAAGCCGCUCUGGAGACGGCGUUGAGGAGCUACUCUUGUUUAACCAUUGGUGACACUAUCAUGCUUCCUUAUAACAGUAAGAAGUAUUACAUCAACAUAAUUGAAACAAAGCCCUCCUCUGCAAUCUGUAUAGUUGAUACCGACUGCGAGGUUGAUUUUGCCCCUCCUCUUGAUUAUGUGGAGCCUGAAAAGAAGCCAGCACCAUCCACUCUGCCAACGAAGAGACCACAAGAAGUUGAAGAAGAUGAACAAGAGACACCUGAAAAGAUAGCAAAGUUCAGUCCCUUUACUGGUUCAGCCAGACGAUUGGAUGGAGAACCGGUCUUGACACAAUCCGUUGCACCUGCAGUUCCCUCUCCUCCGGAACUCAGGCAGCGCCAACUGGAGAGUGAAAAUGGAACCAACAAAAAGGGUUCUAAGUCAUCAGCUUCUGCUUCACUUCAACAUUCUGGAAAGCUUGUGUUUGGUUCAAAUGUGAACCGGCCUGUGAAUGCAAUCCCAAAAGUUGCCCCAAACAACCGCAGCAGGCAAGAGCCCCCUCACAAGGCAGAAGAGCCAAAGUUGCAAGCAUUCACAGGGAAGAAGUAUACCCUGAAAGGGUGAAGUUAGGGCAUAUCGAUCCUUCAUCUAAAACAUAUGAAUUAAACGCUUAGCUAAUAUGUAAAGGGUUAGGAACGGCUAUGGUUGAAAACUUGGAUAAUAAGUAACACCCAGAGUGGGAGAAUCUGUUUCCUUUAUUAUUUGCUUGUUCUGAAUACCAUCAAUUAAAUUUUGAAGCAAUUGGAAUUGUUAUCUUUUCUACUCCUUGUUCUCUGAUUCUUCCUUUUGUAAUUUUCAUACAUGAUUGGUGCCAUUAAAAUAACAACUCAAUGUACGUAAUAAAUAUCUUUCAUACAUACAUUACACAUAAUUGGUAUUGUUUGCUUGUUAAGCUCAUUUAUCCUGGAUUGGAUUGCGUAAUAAAAUCAGGGAUGUAAACUGUGAGUAGUUUACUUUUAUUGCUUGCACUCUCAGGGAAUUAAGUUGCUUGCAUCUCUAAAUCUUCUCAAUGGUGGGAUGACUUUUGUUGAGCAUCGGAGCAAGAUAUGCAGAACCUGCUUCACUAAUUUUCUCUAAGACUGUUAUCAGAUAUACAAGCUGUAGCAUUACAUUGCAAUCACUAAUCAAGAUCAAUGCACAAUUCUGAGUUUUCUGUUCUCUGCUUUCUUCCUUAUUCUUCUCUAAAUUCCUCUACUGUCAUCAACAACAUCGCCUGUACGAUUGACAGGAACACAAUAAACUUUUCCUGAGCCGCCACUUCCAAUCAUAAUACUUUUUGAAACUCUGAAAUUCAACCUCUGAAAUAAGGUGAGCUUCCAAUCAGAAUCCGAUCUGUUUCUCUUCCAAUAAGCUCUGACCAUGAAGAAUGAUAAGGACAAAGCCAACAAGGACAAAAGUAUGCCCAAAGUUAAGAUCAAUGCAAGAUAUGUAGACCAAAUUUUGCUGGAAUUUCGAGGUUGAAAAUUACAUAUGCUGAGUUUUGCUGAGGGCCUAGCUGCACAGAGACCUUGAUUGUCCAAGAAGCUUCUGUCAUAAGCAGGAUUUUCAAAUUCAAUUGGGAUCUUCCCAGAUAGGUGAUUGGAAGAAAGAUUGAAGUUGCUGAGCUUCAGAUUCCCAAGUUGAGCUGGAAUUUGGCCAGAAAAUUGGUUUUCUGAAAGGUCCAGUUCAGUAAUGACUGGUAGAAGACCAAGUCCUGCUGGAAUUGGUCCAGAGAGUUGAUUUCGACUCAAAUUAAGAGCGUUGAGUGAUUUCCAUGAUAUAAUCUCUGAUGGAAGGAAGCCAGUAAGCUGAUUCUGAUCAAGAGAAAGAGUGAUUAAGCUAGGAAGAGUAGUAAGUUUCUGAGGGAUAGUACCGUUAAAAAGGUUAUUACCGGCGUCAAAAACCUUCAAGUUCCAGGAUGACACCCCGGUUGGAAUGUUACCUGAAAAUCUGUUAUCUCUUAUUUCCAGCCGUGUAAGAUUCCGAGACAUUUUCUCAGGAAGCUCACCGGUAAGAGAGUUGUUGCUCAUCAGCACGUGAAUCAAGUUUGGUGCUGUCCACAUGCCACUAGGAAUGUUCCCAGACAAUCCAUUACCAUAAACCUUCACUUCUGUUAAACUAGUGCAAUUUCCAAGAGAGCUUGGUAACUCCCCAGUGAGAUUGUUCUCAUAAGCUACAAGUGUUGACAGCUUACCCCAAUAGCACAAAUGGUCUGGCAGUUUGCCAGUGAGCCUAUUCCCCGAAACCUCGAACCCUUCAAGCUCUGAAUACCUUCCAAAGUCUGGAGGCAAUGUUCCAGACAAAUUAUUGAUGAACACUCUGAACUGUUUGAGAUUUGGUAAACGGCCAAUGCUUGCUGGAACAGCACCAGAAAAACCAUUUAAAAACAAAGCUAACCAUGUUAAUUUGGUAAGGUUUCCAUAAUCUUGUGGUAUUGGGCCUGUUAAAUAGUUUGUAGAAAUAUCAAUGACAGUCAAGUUCAAUGCUUCAACCACUUGAGGUACAUCCCCAGACAGGCUGUUGUUGUAGAGAUAGAUUAUACUCAAAUUCUUCAACAGAAACAAAACACUUGGGAUUGUCCCAUUUAAACUGUUGUAUGCCAAAUCCAAUUCUUCCAGUGCUGCCAUUUCUCCAAGUGUUCCGGGGAGUUCUCCAAUCAAAUUCGAUCCGCGUAUAUACAAAUUCUUCAAGUUUUUCAACUUGGUGAAAUUGGAAGGCAGAUUCCAUGGCACAAGUUUUGUAUUGAAAGAGAGACUUAGGUGUUUAAGAUUGGACAAGUUACCUAUUUCUGGUGGCACGGAACCAUUAAAGUUGUUCAUAUACAGCUGCAGGUUCCUGAGCUCUUGUAACCGCCCAAUAGCCGCCGGUAUGUCACCAGAAAAGUAGUUAGCGCUAAGGUCAAGGUAUUGAAGCCUAGGCAAGCUGUCGAUAUUGUCAGGAAUCUUGCCAUCAAAGGAAUUUUGAGAGAGGUUCAAGUACUGUAGCUUUGAACAGUUGUAGAAAGCUUUUGGGAACUCUCCAGCAAAGUAGUUGUAGCUGAGAUCAAUGAGUGUGAGGUUCUUGAGAUCACAAAUGAAAGGUGGAACUGGUAGAGUGAUUUUCGUGUUGACCAGAGACAAUCCGGUUACGGAGUUGUUUGUGCAGGUGAUCUCAGGCUGCCAGGAACAGUGGGAAGUGUUUGAUGUUGAUGGAAUCCAAUGGCUGAGGAACGGUGGAGAUUGCAAGUAUGACUUUAGUUUUAGCAGAACAGCUUGUUCUUGGUCUUGCAAUGACUGAGAGUUGGCAUGGCUGAUGAGGAGGAGGGGGAGGAAGAGAAGGAAGCAGAGAUGGAUGUGGAGAGAAGAUGUUAGGGUUGGUAUAGUCAUUUGGUGAUGGAGGUUCAGAAGUUGGUUUGUUCCCGCGGCAUGAACUCUGGUUUUGAGGACAAGACAAGUAAGUUAGGGGAAGUUGAUUUCCUUAUAGUGUUGGAAAGUGGAAACUUCAAAACCAUUUGCAGGGCCACAAACAAAUGCAAGCUUUUGGCAAUUUGAGUGGAGGACCUGGAAAAUGAUGGUCAACGGAGACCAUUUAGUCUACGACCAAUUAGUGGAGGACCUGGAAAAUGAUGGCAAUUUGAGUGGAGGAACUGGAAAAUGAUUGUGCUUAUCCGUUAGCUCAGCUGUUAACUUAUUAUAUUUAAUUGUUUUUUUACAAGAAACAAGUUAUAUCAGGAGCCCAACCAGUUGACUUUUUGUUUUGUUUUGAUCAAAUGGGGGUUCGGGGGUUUCGAACUUGGUACCUCAUCCAGCGUGAGGAAGAGAAGUAGCACUAGACCAAAAGCUACUUGAUACCAGUUGACAUUCUAUAUAUGUUAUGGUUAUGGCAGCUAAGAUCCUCUCCUUCCUUCCUUGCCAAAGUUUUAAACUGCAAGAAAUUAUAUUGUUAAAGCCGCAAAUGUCUGCAGAAGAUAAUGCAAGUUUUCGAAUAAAACAAGGCAGGCUGAAAGCCAAACGUGACGUACGUGAAAGGCAAGACGGCAUUGAAAGUUCCUUCCCGGAAUGUCACGUGUGAUCAGAGAACGCCAUUGUUGAAUGAAGACCUGAUUUAUUGCUUUUUAAUUUUUAACGGAAGACUUUGAUCCCAUAUUAUUAUUAUUUUCAAUCGAAACAUUCUGAAGGGUAAGAAGAAUAACGGCAGCACGUCUGGUUUUCCACUGAUACAGACAGGGGAAGGAGAAAAAUGGAAAAUAAAAUUCCACUGGCAAAGAAAAGUUUCAGAGGUGUGACGAAAUGGCAUUAACUCAUGUGGGUGGGUUGUUGUCCUGACCCUAACACACUCACAUUUGUUUCUUUCAGUUCCAGAAGAUGCACAAAAUUUCAAUUCAUGUGGGCUUUUAACUUUGGAGAAAAGUUGAGUGAUGAUAUCAAAUCAAUGGGUUUUGGUGGAAAUAGAUUUGUAGUCAAAUAUAUUGACUGCAUUAUUUCUAGAAGCUGAUAGUGAAAAGCAGUAUGCAUCCAGAUGCAGUGUCACUUGUGAGCUUUUGAGUCAAAAACCAAGCGUCAAGGACCUUGCUGAUAACUUAAUAAAAUCAAAAAGUUCUUUAGAUAUUAAUUAAGGGAUAUGAUUUCCCCACUCCCCUUUUCUCCACCUACACUCCCUUUUGCUUGUUAAUACUUUUUAAUCAAUUUUGUUCAUUUUCUUUCCUAUUCUACCUUUACCUUGCUGAGCAGGCCUGUGAAUGCAAUCCCGAAAGUUGCCCCAAACAACCGCAGGCAAGAGCCCCCUCACAAGGCAGAAGAGCCAAAGUUGCAAGCAUUCACAGGAAAGAAGUAUACCCUGAAAGGGUGAAGUUAGGGCAUAUAGAUCCUUCAUCUAAAACAUAUGAAUUAAACACUUAGCUAAUAUGUAAAGGGUUAGGAACGGCUAUGGUUGAAAACUUGGAUAACAACACCCAGAGUGGGAGAAUCUGUUUCCUUUAUUAUUUCCUUGUUCUGAAUACCAUCAAUUAAAUUUUGAAGCAAGUGGAACUGUUAUCUUUUCUACUCCUUGUUCUCUGAUUCUUCCUUUUGUAAUUUUCAUACAUGAUUGGUGCUAUUAAAAUAAGGGAGAUUCACUAUUAUACCCAAUAUAUGAGCUGAAAUUAUUAUUUAAAAAAAAAAAAACCCUUAUAUGAAAUAGAUUUUAGAAAGACACCCAAAGCCUAUUUACAACAUAACAAAAAGGCUUUUAGCUUAUUUUAAAUUACAAAACUAUCACUAAUUUCUUAAAACAAACCCAACUCCAAAAUCUCAUAAAAAAACCCAAAACACCAAAAGGGCAUCAAAGUAACUUAAUAAUCAAAAUUAAAUUUAAUAGGGCCACUGUCAUUUUUUAGGUUUUUUCUUUUUUUUAUAGAAAUUAAAUGGUGUAGAGUUUAUCUAUAUUAUUAGUGCUAAGAAUGGGUACAUGACUAAAUAUCCCUUAAAAUAACAACUCAAUGUACGUAAUAAAUAUCUUUCAUACAUACAUUAUACAUAAUUGGAACCGUUUGGUUGUUAAGCUCAUUUAUCCUGGAUUGGAUUGCGUAAUAAAAUAGGGGAUGUAAACUGUGAGUAGUUUACUUUUGUUGCUUGCACUCUCAGGGAAUUAAGUUGCUUGCAUCUCUAAAUCUUCUCAAUGGUGGGGUGACUUUUGUUGAGCAUCGGAGCAAGAUAUGCAGAACCUCCUUCAUGGAAGGCCUAGCAGAAGGAAGUGUCUCGGUGCAAUAGAUGCCAAGUUUGAAAACGGAGCACAUUUCAUCCAAGUAACAAGGUUCUUUGAUGUCCUGGUCCAGAGCAUCGACAAGUGGGUAGUUUUCUUGAAAGUGGUGCCGCGCCCAUUCAGCAAGAGAAGUGUGUUCGUCGCCAUCAUUAGCUUCCCUUCCAGUGGUCAACUCCAGAAGGAUGACCCCAUAACUAUAUACAUCAAUCUUCUCGUUCACUCGUGUUGUGUGAGCAUAUUCUGCCAUCAGGUUAGAAAACCCGGUUGACUGAGAUUGCUAAUGGAAACAGAGGAAAAAUAACACACGUUUCUUUAGGAACUAGACUCCAACAUUUGUGGGGGUGUAAUGUUUACCUGGGGCAAUGUAGCCGAAGGAGCCAGCAACAGCUGACAGUGUAACAAGUUCUCCGUGCUUGACCAAGAUCUUGGCUAGACCAAAAUCAGCUAUUUUUGCAUUAAAAUCAGAGUCCAACAAAAUGUUACUCGAUUUCAUGUCUCGAUGCACAACGGGUGGCACACAGUCGUGAUGCAUGUAGCAGAGGCCCCGAGCAGCUCCCACUGCAAUCUGCAACCUCUUAGGCCAGUCCAGCACAACAUGGUGGACUGAACUCGUGAGAUUGGAUGGCCUGUUUCUCUUGUGAAGCCAUUGAUCCAGGCUUCGAUUCUCUGAGUACUCAUAGACAAGAAGUUUUGAAUUGUCCUUGGAUAUACAGCACAUCAGCUUCACUAUGUUGGCAUGUCGUAUGGAACUCAAUAUCUUGACUUCUGCAAGAAAUUCUUUUUCAAGCUUCUCUUCUAACUUCUUAUCUUUCCAAAUCUUUUUCACGGCAACAACAUCGCCUGUACGAUUGACAGGAACACAAUAAACUUUUCCUGAGUCGCCGCUUCCAAUCAUAUUACUUUCUGUCAAUCCUGAGAAUUUUUGACACUCUGAAAUUCAACCUCUGAAAUGCGGUGAGCUUCCAAUCAGAAUCCGAUCUGUUUCUCUUCCAAUAAGCUUUGACCAUGAAGAAUGAUAAGGACAAAGCCCACAAGGACAAAAGUAUGCCGAAAGUUAAGAUCAAUGCACGAUAUGUAGACGAAAUUUUGCUGGACUUUAGAGGUUGAGAAUUACAUAUGCUGAGUUUUGCUGAGGGGUUAGUCGCACAGAGACCUUGAUUGUCCAAGAAGCUUACGUCAUAAGCAGGAUUUUCAAAUUCAAUUGGGAUCUUCCCAGAUAGGUGAUUGGAAGAGAGAUUGAAGUUGCUGAGCGUCAGAUGCCCAAGUUGAGCUGGAAUUUGGCCAGAAAGUUGGUUUUCUGAAAGGUCCAGUGCAGUAAGGACUGGUAGAAACCCAAGUCCCGCUGGAAUUGGUCCAGAGAGUUUAUUUCGACUGAAAUUAAGAGUGUCGAGUGAUUUCCAUGAUAUAAUCUCUGAUGGAAGGAAGCCAGUAAGCUGAUUCUGAUCAAGAGAAAGAGUGAUUAAGCUAGGAAGAGCAGUAAGUUCCUGAGGGAUAGUACCGUUAAAAAGGUUAUUACCGGCGUCAAAAACCUCCAAGUUCCAGGAUGACACCCCGGUUGGAAUGUUACCUGAAAAUCUGUUCUCUCUUAUUUCCAGCCAUGUAAGAUUCCGAGACAUUUUCUCAGGAAGCUCACCGGUAAGAGAGUUGUUGCUCAUCAGCACCAGACUCAAUUUUGGUGCUGUCCACAUGCCACUAGGAAUGUUCCCAGACAAUCCAUUAUCAUGAACCCUCACUUCUGUUAAACUAGUGCAAUUUCCAAGAGAGCUUGGCAACUCCCCAGUGAGAUUGUUCUCAUAAGCUACAAGUGUUGACAGCUUAUCCCAAUAGCACAAAUGGUCUGGCAGUUUUCCAGUGAGCCUAUUCCCCGAAACCUCGAACCCUUCAAGCUCUGAAUACCUUCCAAAGUCUGGAGGCAAUAUUCCAGACAAAUUAUUGCUGAACACACUGAACUGUUUGAGAUUUGGUAGACGGCUAAUGCUUGCUGGAACCUCACCAGAAAGAACAUUAUAAGACAAAGCUAACCAUGUUAAGUUGGUAAGCUUUCCAUAAUCAUCUGGUAUUGGGCCUGUUAAAUGGUUUUCAGAAAGAUCAAUAACUUGCAAGUUCGAUGCUUCAACCACUUGAAGUAUGUCCCCAGACAGGCUGUUCCCUAACAAAUCCAAUUCUUCCAGUGCUGCCAUUUUACCCAGUGUUCCAGGGAGCUCUCCCAUCAGAUUCGAUUCACUUAUAUACAGAGUCUUCAACUUUUUCAACUGGGUGAAAUUGGAAGGCAGGUUCCAUGGCACAAGUUCUGUAUUGUAAGAGAGACUUAGGUGUUUAAGAUUGGACAAGUUACCUAUUUCUGGUGGCACGGAACCAUUAAAGUUGUUAAUAGACAGCUGCAGAUUCCUGAGCUCUUGUAACCUCCCAAUAGCCGCCGGUAUGUCACCAGAAAAGUCGUUAACGCUAAGGUCUAUGUAUUGAAGCCCAGGCAAGCUGUCGAUAUCUUUCGGAAUCUUGCCACCAAAGGAGUUUUGAGAGAGGUUCAAGUACUGUAGCUUUGAACAGUUAUAGAAAGCUUUUGGGAACUCUCCAGCAAAGUUGUUGUGGCUGAGAUCAAUGAGUGUGAGGUUCUUGAGAUCACAAAUGAAAGGUGGAACUGGUAGGGCGAUGUUCGCGUUGACCAGAGACAAUCCGGUGACAGAGUUGUUUGUGCAGGUGAUCUCAGGCUGCCAGGAACAGUGGGAAGUGUUUGAUGUUGGUGGAAUCCAAUGGCUGAGGAAUGGUGGAGAUUGCAAGUAUGACUUUAGUUUUAGCAGGACUGCUUGUUCUUGGUCUUGCACUGACUGAGAGUUGGCAUGGCUGCUGAGGAGGAGGAGGAGGAAGAGAAGGAAGCAGAGAUGGGUGUGGAGAGAAGAUGUUGGGGUUGGUUUAGUCAUUUGGUGAGGGAGGUUCAGAAGUUGGUCUGUUCCCGCGGUUUGAACAGUCUUGGUUUGAGGACAAGUUAACUAGAAUAAGUUCAUUUCCCUUCAUUUCUUUUAAUAUAUUUAAUUUUCUCACAAUUAGUUCACUCUUUUUCGUUUGUUAUUUUCCAUUCCAACACCUUUUUCUAUUUCUUUUCCACCUUCCAUCUUUCCUCGUGUUGUUCCCUUCUUGUUUUCCUGUUUUCCCCUUUUCUCAGACCACAACAACAAAAACAAAAAACAAAAAAACAAACUUUUAGUCUCCAUCGUUGGACUGAAGGCAUGGUCAUUGAUAAUGGACCACACUGCACCAGAAACGUCUGCAGAAGAUGAGGUAAGGUAAUAAAACAAGCCAGGCCAAAGCCAAAUGUGACGUGCGGGAAGGGCAAGAAGGCAAAACUUCAAUUGAAGCUUCACUGAAGGAGGCCAAUGGAAAAAUGUGAAGGGUGAACAAAGAACGCCUUUGUUUAAUGGAGACUUUGACCCAACAAAAGUUUAGAGUUUUGGUCCCAGAUGUUGACUCGAAAAUUAUGAAUGGUACUAAGAGUAAAGGCAGGUACGUCUGGUUUUUCACUGAUAUAGACAGGAAAGAAAAUAAAAUGAAAAUAAAAUUCAACCAGAAGGAAGAAUUGCAGAUUGUGACAAAAUGCCUUAGAAUAAAAUUAAACUCACCAGUCACCACUUGCUUUGAGGACGUGAUGUGAAUCACCUAAAAGAAGCGCACAAAACCAAAAACUAAUUGUUAGAAAGAGGCCUUGAGCUUCCUUUUGUAUAAUAGUAUAGUUCUAGGUAUGCCGGAGUAGUGCAUCAUUCUCUCCUUAUGCUCAAGUUUAAAUCCUCAUUUUUGUGUAUUAGAAUAAUUUAAAAAUAAUUUAGACUAUCAUUUAUAUAAAAAUUAGUAUAGCUCUGAAGUAUUCAAAGGGAAAAAGCAUACAAGGCAUACCCUUCAUCUAAAAAAAAGGAAACAAUAUUAUUUCCUUGUUUUGUUUUUGGUCUAAGAGGGAGAAACACUUGUGUGAAACGGGGAUCACAUUGUCUUACUAUCCUCGGUCAAUCAUGGACAUAUCAUGCGGGAUAACUUUUUCACGUGGCAGUCUGUGAUCGACAUGGAAUAGCAAAACAGUGUUAUCCCUGCAAGUUUUUCUGCUAAGAGGGGCCAGUCCUAGCAGAACAAGAUGGCCAUUACCUCAAGUAGUUACAAAUAAAGGAUUAUGAACAGCGAUGGUUGAAAGCUUGGGUAACAAGUAACAGUUGGAGAGAAUAUGUUUCCUUCAUUAUUUCCUUGAUCUAAUUUCCAUCAUCAAUUAAAGCAUUGUUUUUCUAACCUAUGGGUAUAAUUGAAAAACUAAACAAAUUUUACUUCUAAUUCCUCUUGUUGAACUCAACCAAGCUUAUCAAACAUUUGUUGCCGAACUACCAACACCGUCUUCCAGUAUCUGCUCGCGCUUCGAAUUCUUGAGCAGAGGAGCACCAACAUAAUCAGUAUUUUCUCUGUGAACUCCUGGAUGGCCGCAUCGGAGCAAGAUUUGCAGAACCUCCUUCAUGGAAGGCCUAGUAGAAGGAAGUUUCUCGGUGCAAUAGAUGCCAAGUCUGAAAACGGAGCACAUUUCAUCCAAGUAGCAAGGUUCUUUGAUGUCCUUGUCCAAAGCAUCGGCAAGAGGGUUGUCUUCUUGAACAUGGCGCCAUGCCCAUUCGGCAAGAGCAGUGUGUUCGUCGCUAUCAUUAGCUUCCCUUCCGGUGGUCAACUCCAGAAGGACGACCCCAAAACUAUAUACAUCAAUCUUCUCAUUCACACGUAUCGUAUGAGCACAUUCUGCAUUCAAGUGAAAAUAAAAUAAAAUAAAAUAAAACCUGUGAGAUUGCUAAUAGAAACAGAGGAAAAAUAACACAUAUUUCUUUAGGAACUAACUUUAACAUUUGUAGGGUGCAAGGUUUACCUGGAGCAAUGUAGCCAAAGGAGCCAGCAACAGCCGACAUUGUAGCAAGUUCUCCUUGCUUGACCAACAUCUUGGCUAGACCAAAAUCUGCUAUUUUUGCAUUAAAAUCAGAGUCUAACAAGAUGUUACUCGAUUUCACAUCUCGAUGCACAACGGGCGGCACACAGUCAUGAUGCAUAUAGUGGAGGCCCUGAGCAGCCCCCACUGCAAUAUGCAACCUCUUAGGCCAGUCCAGCACAACAUGGUGGACUGACCUAGAGAGAUUGGAUGGCCUGUUUCUCUUGUGCAGCCAUCGAUCCAGACUUCGAUUCUCCGAGUACUCAUAGACAAGUAGUUUUGAAUUGUCCUUGGAUAUACAGCACAUCAGCUUCACUAUGUUGGCAUGUCGAAUGGAACUCAAUAUCUUGACUUCUGCAAGAAAUUCUUUUUCAAGCUUCUCUUCUAACUUCUUAUCUUUCCAAAUCUUUUUCACGGCAACAACAUCGCCUGUACGAUUGACAGGAACACAAUAAACUUUUCCUGAGCCGCCACUUCCAAUCAUAUUACUUUCUGUCAAUCCUGAGAGAAUUUUUGACACUCUGAAAUUCAACCUCUGAAAAGCGGUGAGCUUCCAAUCAAAAUCCGAUCUGUUUCUCUUCCAAUAAGCUCUGACCAUGAAGAAUGAUAAGGACAAAGCCAACAAGGACAAAAGUAUGCCGAAAGUUAAGAUCAAUGCAAGAUAUGUAGACCAAAUUUUGCUGGACUUUCGAGGUUGAGAAUUACAUAUGCUGAGUUUUGCUGAGGGGCUAGUUGCACAGAGAUCUUGAUUGUCCAAGAAGCUUCCGUCAUAAGCAGGAUUUUCAAAUUCAAUUGGGAUCUUCCCAGAUAGGUGAUUGGAAGAGAGAUUGAAGUUGCUGAGCUUCAGAUGCCCAAGUUGAGCUGGAAUUUGGCCAGAAAGUUGGUUUUCUGAAAGGUCCAGUGCAGUAAGGACUGGUAGAAGACCAAGUCUCGCUGGAAUUGGUCCAGAG